UUAAAAUUCAUUGAAUGUCCACUCAAAUACAUAAAGCAAAUAGGACGUACAUUCAAAAUCCGAUAUGAAGAACAUAUCAAAGCCAUAAAAAUACGCUAAACAUAAACUCGACACAGGACGCAUAUGAGCACAUUUAAUCAAACAAUAGAAAUAUUACACGCUGAAAAGAAAGGCCAAUCACUGAGCACACUUGAACGUUUCCACACGUAUAAUUUAAUAAUCCAAGAUAAUAAAUGAAUGAUACCUUUGCAGAUACACUUAACCCCAUAUUCUAGUACCUAAUAAUAAAAACAUAUCCAUCAUAAUAAGAAAUGAAACACGCCUCCAAAUAUACCCUCACCACCGCCCCUACCAAACUAUAACCACACCCUCCCUUGAACAUGACAUGACCUAUGAAACAUACCCACCGAUACCCACUGUGACAUUAUACAAUGGUAAGUACAAACUGAACCACAGAAUGGGAACAACAUAUCUGAUAGCAAGAAGACGUGGCACAGGACACGAUACAACAUACACGUCUAGACUUCAGACUCAGGAACGCCAGAAAGUCUUUGGAAUCCAAUCUGAAACGUCUGGAUAACAGCCUGUUCCAAUCUGAAGAAAUUUUAACAAACAUCCGGACCAAAGUGAAAAUAUCGAGAGAACUAACCCGAUCUGCAGAAGGCAUUCCUGUUUACUCCCCCGGCGUGCGGCGUCCCUUGUCGGACUUUCUUCAGCCGCUAAAAGAAACUCCUCUUUCUACGAUCUCUCGUGAGCCCUGGUGGUGGGGAUAUGCUUCAUUGCGACCCCACAUGAAGCAGCUGAAGGCUAAGCCGUCACAUCUGCGGGACAGUUACCUGUCUCCCGUGAAGAGCACCUUUCACUGGUGUGAACAUCCCUUCCGACAUAUCGGUCCCGUGACUCAGACUUUCUACUAUUGUCUGUGACGGAGAACGCACGGGAACACGCUGGAUGAGAUAGACGCCAGGCUUUGCGAUGUUCUAAGCCAACCGGCCCACCUACGAAUAGUGUACCCAUGAGAAGAAGACAACAUGACGACGAAAUUCUGAGGUCUCUUUGUCCGGCCGAAGUUAAAUAUCCUUUAUCCUAUACACUUCAAUUUGAAAAAAAAAAUAGCUGCAGCAUAGCAAAAAAUGCAUGACUUCCCAUUGUAUUUAGACGAAAUUCGCAGUUUCAGGCAACAUGACAUAUAUUUUAGAAAGUUCACCAACUGAUGCAUCUAGUGCCAAGGUUAAGAAUAUGUGGAGCUAAAUCUCCGUUCUCACAUACACACCUUUUACUUAACAGAACGAUUGCUUGGUUAUGAGUGCAGCAGAUGCACUAAAUUCAGCAUCUCCUUUCCAUAUGCAAUGCUCAGUCAAAUGAAGCGUGCACAGCCACACAGUAUGAAAACUGGCGACUCCACACAAUGCCUUGCCAGCUUAUAAUGCCCUUUUAUAAAACUACAUUAGAAGUUCCGUUUAACAGCCAGAGACAUCUUACGAAGCUUCCUGUUUUCGGACGCCUUCACAAAUUUACCCAACGGAUGAAUUUACAACUAACUUCAGAGACACCAACCUACUUCCAGUUGAUUUUUCUUUUUGAGACAUUAAUACAUGUAUAGCAUUCUGAAUUGUUAAAAUAUAUGUCGGGACCUCUCAAACCCGACGCCCCUGACACAAGAUCGGAGGCCGAUCAGCGAAAUUACCGAACCAAGGGUGGUCAAAGUAUUACGAUGAAAAACAUAUGAAGAACCAUCAUAUUAGUGUUGUUACUCAGUUUCAAGCUAUUGGUACAAAGAACAAGGAACAAUGUCUUCGCUUACAAGCAACACCAACAUAACUACUUCUUGAUAGUCUCCCUGAAGCCACAGUUAGGUACUGUCCGGCGAACUUAACCCCUGCCACACCAUGGAGUGCCGGACUUGAGAGGGCCGACUUGUAAAUAAUUUUCUUCGAGGAACUCCACCAUGUGUACAUUCAACAUACUGAUGUGUGCAAUGACAAUCUUAUGUCUUUCUUCUUUUGUAUAAACGGAUAUGAUAAAUAAA